rnacentral:rRNA from 1 species
UACGUAGGGUGCAGGCGUUAAUCGGAAUUACUGGGCGUAAAGCGUGCGCAGGCGGUUUCUUAAGUCAGAUGUGAAAGCCCCGGGCUUAACCUGGGAACUGCGUUUGAAACUGGGAGACUUGAGUGUGGCAGAGGGGGGUGGAAUUCCACGUGUAGCAGUGAAAUGCGUAGAUAUCUGGAGGAACACCGGUGGCGAAGGCGGCAUCCUGGACCAUUACUGACGCUGAUGAGCGAAAGCCAGGGGAGCAAACGGG